rnacentral:lncRNA from 1 species
CUGAAAUUUAAAAAUGUACUCCUGUAUCUGUGAGCUGGCCUUUGAGAAAGGGGAAGGUGGAAGAGAAUCAGGUUGCUUGCAGAACAGACAGACAACCCCAUGGUGAGUUUCUCAGUUCUCUGCAAGGAGUCGGGAGUCCUUUGAGUUACAGAAGCCUGACAGGGCCAAUUCUGUAAGCCCCUGGGGUAGGACAGAGGUCAGUGAUUUCUCUAGUUCUCAGGGGGAUCCCCCCAAAAUGGGGAAACAGACAUGCAACCAGAAGAAAAAGAAAGGGUUUAGGAAAGGGGAUGGAGACAGAAGAGGAAGAGUCUGGGUAGGAUCCUUUCGGAUCCAAAAAUUCUGCAAUUCCAAGAAUUGCCUUAAUUCCCAGAACAGCCACUUAAAGGCCUCUCAGGCAGAGGCUGUGCCAGGCGAGGGCGAGGCCAGGAAAGGCCAAUCAGAGGCCAGGAGGGAGGGGCAGUGUGUGAGGACUCCUGGCUGGUGUCAAAGGACCCAGGACAGGGAGUGGCCAUUCCAGCUAGGGACACAGUGCUUCCCAGCCUUCAUUUUCUCUUUUGACAGAAGAGAGGCCAGUCUCACCAUUUGACAGCACAGGCCUCCAGCAGCAUCCUGGUAACUCAGAAGGCAUCCAAUAAGCAUUGAUUGAGUUAAUAUGUAACUUGUAUGGAAAGAGGAGUUGGAGGCAAAAUCUGAAGGAUUUCCAAGGUAGACUGUAAGAUUCUGGGCCCAGGCUUCCGUGUGAUCCCAGAGGAGGGUCGGCCUGGGGUGGAGGUCAGGAGAUGGGUGGAGGAUUGCAAGUUAAGGAAAACUUUGGUUUUUGUUUUUUUGAGACAGGUCUCACUCUGACGCCCAGGCUGGAGUGAGAUCAUGGCUCACUGCAGCCUCCACCUCCCAGACUCAAGAGAUCCUCUCACCUCAGCCUCCUGAGUAGGUGGGCCCACAGGCACAAGCCACCACACCUGGCUAAUUUUUAAUUUUUUGUAGAGAGAGGGUCUUGCUGUGUUGCUAGGCUGGCCUAGAACUCCUGGGCCCAAGCAAUCCUCCCACCUCGGCCUCCCAAAGUGCUGGGAUUGCAGGUAUGAGCUUCUGCACGCAGCCAUCAGGGAGGAAGAGAAGGAAACAUCUAAGCUGAGCCUCAUGAGAUGGGGUCGGGGGAGGAAUUAAAGUCAUCUCAGACAGAAAGGACCAGAAAAACAGAAGCUUAUUUAAGGGCAGGUAUGAGAGACAGAUUUCAGCCCACAUGAACAGACUUGCCCUGAGAUAGAAUUAGGCAACCUUUGCCGGGUGGUGUGGCUCAAGCCUGUAAUCCCAACACUUUGGGAGGCCAAGGCAGGCAGAUCACCUGAGGUCGGGAGUUUGAGACCAGCCUGGGCAACAUGGUGAAACCCCGUCUCUACUAAAAAUACAAAAAUUAGCCAGGUGUGGUGGCCCACACCUGUAGUCCCAGCUACUAGGGAGGCUGAGGCAUGAAAAUCGCUUGAACCCAGGAAGCGGAGGUUGCAGUGGGUCGAGAUCACACCACUGCACUCCAGCCUGGGCGACAGAGAGAGACUCCAUCUCCCAAAACAAAACAAAAAAAUUCAGCAACCUUUAAAUGUAGCAAGUUCCCCCUCCAUAGUGGUAUUCAAACAAGCAGAGGCAAUCCCACUGUUGCGUGGGGAGAGUUGGGCCAGAGGUCCUUAAAUGUCCUUCCGGGUCAUGGAUUCAUUCUGUGGCUGUGAUUAGGCUGGACUCAAGGGAAGGGGAUGGAUACAGGUCCCCAAGGGUUCAAGCUGGUCGUAGUCUGACGUGCAUCUGUUCCUGCUCUAUCAGGUACUUCGGUCUUCUGUGGAUGUCCUUGGGUCCCCAUGAACCACUGACUCCAAGUUCUGCAGUGUGGGGCUUAUGUGAAAGGGACAGGGGAAAAGGAAACAGGCUCUGCCCGGGGCCCAAUCUCAGAGUUUUCUCCCCCGACAUCUGUUGAGUCUGCAUGUGGGCAAUGUUUCUUGCUAGCUUCUUCGUGUAUUCACUCUCUCUGGUUCCCUUUCAUCAUAAAACCCUGCUGUUGCCCAAGUUUUGGCUACCACGUGGCUAAGCAGCUCAAUGCUACAUUUCCCAACCUCUCUCGUAGUUGGGUGUGGCCAUGUAGCCACAUUCGGAGCAGAUGUGAUGUGUUCUACUUUUAGAUUAUGCCCUAAAAUUGAAGAGGUGUGGCCUCCUCUGUCUCUUCCACACUCUUUCCACAGGCUGAGAUGCAAACGUGAUGGCAGGUAUUGGAGUAGCUAUUUUGGGCCUCAAAGUGGAAGCCAUGUUUUGGGUGUGGCAGAACAGUGAGUAAAAAUAGCUGGAAUCCUCAACACAAUGGAGCUGCCAUUUGAACCCAGGAGGACUUGGGGCUAAGUAAGAGAGGAGUAACUUUGUAUCCUGUUUUGAUUCUUCAUAAUAGCAACCCAAACCUGUAUCUCAAUCAACAAAUAAUCUCAGCUCCAACCACACUUCCUGUUUGCCCCAUAUUUUUCUUCAACUCUGGUCCUGAGACAUAGCACUGAAUAAGAAUCUCCCUCCCCCAUCUCACUUCCCAGAACCCUGUCCCACAGCCCCCUUGGCCUGGGGACCCACCUCAUAUCUGAAGACAAUAAGAUCCCUGAAUAUGAGCCCUGAGUGAGCUAGGGCAAAUCCCUUAAUAUUUCCUUCCCUCCUUUCCUCCUUCCCUCCUUCCCUCCCUCCUUUCCUUCCUCUUUCUUUCCCUCCUUCUCUCUUUCUUUCUCUCUCUUUUUCUUUUUUUGAGAUGGAGUUUUGCUCUUGUUGCCCAGGCUGGAGUGCAAUGGCGUGAUCUUGGCUCACCACAACUUCUGCCUCGAACUCGAACUACUGACCUCAGGUGAUCCGCCUGCCUUGGCCUCCCAAAGUGCUGGGAUUACAGGUGUGAGCCACUGUGCCGGGGCUCGCUCUUUUCUUUCUUUCUUUCUUUCUUUCUUUCUUUCUUUCUUUCCUUCUUUCUUUCUUUCUUUCCUUCCUUCCUUUCUUUCUUUCUUUCUUUCUUUCUUUCUUUCUUUCUUUCUUUCUUUCUUCUCUUUCUCUCUCUUUCUUCUUUUUCUCUCCUUUCUCUCUUUCUUUUCUUUCUUCCUUCCUUUCUUUUCCUUCCUUCCUUCUUUUUCUCUUUCUUUCUUUCUUUCUUUUUCAAUACAUGGUUUCACUCUAUUGCUCAGGCUGCAGUGCAGUGGCACCAUCAUGGCUUACUGUAGCCUCCAACUGGGUUCAAGGGAUCCUCCAACUUCAGCCUCUGAGCAACUAGGACUACAGGCAUGAGCCACCAUGCUUUGCUAAUUUUUAAAUUUUUGUAGAGACAGGGCCUUGGUAUGUUGCCUAGGCUGGUCUCGAACUCCUGGCCUCAAGCGAUCCUCCCUCCUUGGCCUCCCAAAGGCUGGAAGGCUGAGGUGGGCAGAUCAUUUGAGGCCAGGAGUUUGAGACCAGCCUGGCCAACAUGAUGAAACCCCAUCUCUACUAAAAAUACAAAAAUUGGCCAGGCGUGGUGGCUGACGCCUGUAAUCCCAGCACUUUGGGAGGCCAAGGUGGGUGGAUCAUGAGGUCAAGAGAUUGAGACCAUCCUGGCCAACAUGGUGAAACUCUGUUUCUACUAAAAAUACAAAAAUUAGCCAGGCAUGGUGGCAGGUGCCUGUAGUCCCAGCUACUCAGGAGGCUGAAGCAGGAGAAUAGCUUGAACCCAGGAGGCGGAGGUUGCAGUGAGCUGCGAUCAUGCCACUGCACUCCAGCCUGAGCAACAGAGUGAGACUCUGUAUCAAAAAAACAAAAAAACAAAAAUUAGCCAGGCGUGGUGGUGCUCACCUGUAAUCCCAGCUACUCAGGGGGCGUAGGCACGAGAAUUGCUUGAACCCGGGAGGCAGAGGUUGCAGUGAGCCAAGAUGGUGCCACUGCACUCUAACCUGAGCAACAGAGUGAGACUCUGUCUCAAAAAAAAAAUUGUAGAGAUGGGGUCUUACUAUGAUGCUCAGGCUGGUCUCAAACUCCUAGGCUCAAGUAAUCCUCCCACUUCGGCCUCCUAAACUGCUGUGAUUACAGGCAUGAGCCACUGCUCCCAGACUUUAGUUUUUGUUUGUUUGUUUGUUUUGAGACAGAGUCUCCCUCUGUCACCCAGGCUGGAGUGCAAUGGCACGAUGUCGGCUCACUGCAACCUCUACCUCCUGGGUUCAAGCGAUUCUACUGCCUCAGCCUCCUGAGCAGCUGGGAUUACAGGCACCUGCCACCAUGCUUGGCUAAUUUUUGGUAUUUUUAGUGGAGAUGGGGUUUCACCAUGUUGGUCAGGCUGGUCUUGAACUCCUGACUUUGUGAUCCACCCACCUCGGCCUCCCAAAGUGCUGGGAUUACAGGCGUGAGCCACUGCCCCCGGCCCUGGCUUUUAAUAUUUUAAAUCUCAGUUUUCUCUGACUUUUAGAUGGCACUCAUAAGUAGCGUUCCCGUCUAUGAACAGGACACAAUCAACAAAAACAGGUGCUGGGGAGGGCCGUGUUUCAUGGGCAGUAUCGCAAAAAAGCAGAAGAAAUUCCUUUCCACUACGUAGGAGCCCACAGAAAUGUAUGCACUAAAAUAUAUGCAAGCAAAAGCAAACAAACCAAAAGCUGCAUUCACAGCGUAGACCCUGCAAGAGCAGGAACACUCCCUGCCCCAGAUACAUACACCAAACACAAAUACACAUCAAAGAUGCUCUCUCAGGCUCAUGAAUGUGCAGGCACAGGCAAGCACACACAUGCCCGAAC